UACGGAGGGGGCUAGCGUUGUUCGGAAUUACUGGGCGUAAAGCGCACGUAGGCGGCUUUGUAAGUUAGAGGUGAAAGCCCGGGGCUCAACUCCGGAAUUGCCUUUAAGACUGCAUCGCUAGAAUUGUGGAGAGGUAAGUGGAAUUCCGAGUGUAGAGGUGAAAUUCGUAGAUAUUGGGAAGAACACCAGUGGCGAAGGCGGCUAAUCUGGACCGUAACUGACGCU
rnacentral:rRNA from 1 species